rnacentral:rRNA from 1 species
AGUGAACGCUGGCGGUAGGCCUAACACAUGCAAGUCGAACGGCAGCACAGUAAGAGCUUGCUCUUACGGGUGGCGAGUGGCGGACGGGUGAGGAAUACAUCGGAAUCUACUUUUUCGUGGGGGAUAACGUAGGGAAACUUACGCUAAUACCGCAUACGACCUACGGGUGAAAGCAGGGGAUCUUCGGACCUUGCGCGAUUGAAUGAGCCGAUGUCGGAUUAGCUAGUUGGCGGGGUAAAGGCCCACCAAGGCGACGAUCCGUAGCUGGUCUGAGAGGAUGAUCAGCCACACUGGAACUGAGACGCGGUCCAGACUCCUACGGGAGGCAGCAGUGGGGAAUAUUGGACAAUGGGCGCAAGCCUGAUCCAGCCAUACCGCGUGGGUGAAGAAGGCCUUCGGGUUGUAAAGCCCUUUUGUUGGGAAAGAAAAGCAGCAGGUUAAUACCCCGCUGUUUUGACGGUACCCAAAGAAUAAGCACCGGCUAACUUCGUG